rnacentral:rRNA from 1 species
ACCUACCUCUGUCUGGAGAAUAGCCCGAAGAAAUUCGGAUUAAUGCUCCGUAACACCAUGAUGAGGCAUCUCGUCAUGGUCAAAGCUCCGGCGGGCAGAGAUGGACAUGCGUAACAUUAGCUUGUUGGUGAGGUAACGGCUCACCAAGGCUACGAUGUAAAGGGGGUCUGAGAGGAUGGUCCCCCACACUGGUACUGAGACACGGACCAGACUUCUACGGAAGGCAGCAGUUGAGGAAUAUUGGUCAAUGGGCGAAAGCCUAAACCAGCCAUGCCGCGUGAAGGAGGACAGCCCUACGGGUUUGUAACCUCCUUUUGUACGGGAAGAAACACUUCUAAGUGUAGAAGCUUGACGGUACCGGUACGAAAUAAGCAUCGGGUAACUCUGUGCCCAGCAGCCGCGGUAAAUACGGGAGGGAUGCAGGCGUUAUCCGGGAUACAUUGGGGUUAAAAGGGAACGUAGGGCGGAACAUAAAGGUCAGUGUUGAAAUCUUGCAGCUAACCUGUAGAACUGUCAUUGAUACUGAUCUUCUUGAAAAUAGUUGAGGUAGGCGGAAUGUGUAAUGUAGCGGUGAAAUGCUUAGAUAUUACACAGAACACCGAUUGCGGAGGCAGGCUUACUAACGUUUUGAUUGACGCUGAGGUACGAAAGCGUGGGGAACGAACAGGUUUAGAUACCCCGUGGUAGUCCACGGCUGUAAACGAUGAUCACUCGUUGGUUGCAUAUAUAGUUUCAGCGGACUGAGCGAAAGCAUUAAGUGACUCCACCCUGGGGAGUACGAUCGCAAGGAUUGACACUCAAAGGAUUUGCCGGGGGCCCCCACAAGCGGAGGAACAUGGUGGUUUAAUUUCGAUGAUACGCGAGGAACCUUACCUGGGCUUAAAUGUAGAACCGGCGGAUCGGGAAACUGAUCCUUCUUCGAACGGUCUGCAAGAUGCUGCAUGGCUGUCGUCAGCUCGUGCCAUGAGGUGUCGGGUUAAGUCCCAUAACGAGCGCAACCCUCAUCAUUAGUUGCCAGCGGAUAAUGCCGGGGACUCUAAUUGAUACUGCCGGUGUAAACCGAGAGGAAGGUGGGGAUGACGUCAAGUCAGCACGGCCCUUAUGUCCAGGGCUACACACGUGUUACGUUUUUUCGAUACAAAGGGCAGCUACCUGGUAACAGGAUGCUAAUCUCUAAAAUCGGUCUUAGUUCGGAUCGAAGUCUGCAACUCGACUUCGUAAAGCUGGAUUCGCUAGUAAUCGCGCAUCACCCACGGCGCGGUGAAUACGUUCCCGGGCCUUGUACACACCGCC